CAACUUUCAACAACGGAUCUCUUGGUUCUGGCAUCGAUGAAGAACGCAGCGAAAUGCGAUAAGUAGUGUGAAUUGCAGAAUUCAGUGAAUCAUCGAAUCUUUGAACGCACAUUGCGCCCUUUGGUAUUCCAAAGGGCAUGCCUGUUCGAGCGUCA
rnacentral:rRNA from 1 species